rnacentral:rRNA from 1 species
AAUCCCGUGAACCAUCGAGUCUUUGAACGCAAGUUGCGCCCCAAGCCUUCUGGCCGAGGGCACGUCUGCCUGGGUGUCACAAAUCGUCGUCCCCAUCUUUUGCGGAUAAGGGACGGAAGUUGGUCUCCCGUGUGUUACCGCACGCGGUUGGCCUAAAUAUGAG